rnacentral:siRNA from 1 species
AGGCCUAUGUCUUGAAGUCUUCAA